AGUGAACGCUGGCGGCGUGCCUAAUACAUGCAAGUCGAACGAAGUGGCGCACGGGUGAGUAAUAUAUAUUUAAUCUGCCCUACACAGAGGAACAACAGUUGGAAACGACUGCUAAUACCUCAUAGUGUAGGCUGAGACUGUAUCGUAUCAGCAAGUUGGUAAGGUAAUGGCUUACCAAGGGUAUGACGCGCAACUGGUCUGAGAGGAUGAUCAGUCAAAUUGGAAGUGAGACACGGUCCAAACUGCUACGGGAAGGAGCGGAAAGGAAUAGUGCGCAAUGGGGGAGAACCUGGCACGGCAACGCGUCGUGGAGGAUGACACUUGUCGAGGCGUGAACUCCUGUUAUCAGGAAAACGGUACCUGAUGAAUAAGCACCGGCUAACUCCGUGCCAGCCGCCGCGGUAAUAC
rnacentral:rRNA from 1 species